CCUAACACAUGCAAGUCGAACGGUAACAGGAAACAGCUUGCUGUUUCGCUGACGAGUGGCGGACGGGUGAGUAAUGUCUGGGAAACUGCCUGAUGGAGGGGGAUAACUACUGGAAACGGUAGCUAAUACCGCAUAACGUCGCAAGACCAAAGAGGGGGACCCUCGGGCCUCUUGCCAUCGGAUGCGCCCAGAUGGGAUUAGCUUGUUGGUGGGGUAACGGCUCACCAAGGCGACGAUCCCUAGCUGGUCUGAGAGGAUGACCAGCCACACUGGAACUGAGACACGGUCCAGACUCCUACGGGAGGCAGCAGUGGGGAAUAUUGCACAAUGGGCGCAAGCCUGAUGCAGCCAUGCCGCGUGUAUGAAGAAGGCCUUCGGGUUG
rnacentral:rRNA from 1 species